rnacentral:misc_RNA from 1 species
GAACUGUGAUAGGUGUUGUGAAUUGCAGAUACCUGUGGAUCAUCGAGUUUUUGAACGCGUCAGCGCCCCUUGGUCAACCUCGGGGCCUGCCCGUUGGAGUAUCAUUUCCAGGCUCGUCUUUGAAGAACAGCGUCUGUUGAGAACCGUUCGUUCCAAAAUCGUACCGGGCGAUCCGGGCGGCGGCCUAUCAAUGGUGCACAGUAUUCAUUGACGGAUUUGGCAGUAGGAGCGAAUCGUUUCCUUCUGCUUAAAUAUAUUUCCUGGUGGACUGCGUUCCCUCGGUAUUUAUGCAGAUGGCUUACUUCCGUGGGCGUGGAAAAUUGGGAAUUUCCAAGGCAACUUGGACCAGCGUCAGCUGGAACUCAUCACAUGAUCUCUAAUCGGGCAAGACUACCCGCUU